GACGAACGCUGGCGGCGUGCUUAACACAUGCAAGUCGAACGGAAAGGCCCUGCUUUUGUGGGGUGCUCGAGUGGCGAACGGGUGAGUAACACGUGAGUAACCUGCCCUUGACUUUGGGAUAACUUCAGGAUACUGGGGCUAAUACCGGAUAGGAGCUCCCGCUGCAUGGGGGGGGUUGGAAAGUUUCGGCGGUUGGGGAUGGACUCGCGGCUUAUCAGCUUGUUGGUGGGGUAGUGGCUUACCAAGGCUUUGACGGGUAGCCGGCCUGAGAGGGUGACCGGCCACAUUGGGACUGAGAUACGGCCCAGACUCCUACGGGAGGCAGCAGUGGGGAAUAUUGCACAAUGGGCGGAAGCCUGAUGCAGCAACGCCGCGUGCGGGAUGACGGCCUUCGGGUUGUAAACCGCUUUCGCCUGUGACGAAGCGUGAGUGACGGUAAUGGGUAAAGAAGCACCGGCUAACUACGUG
rnacentral:rRNA from 1 species